CACGCGCUUGACGCCAACGGUGCCCGGUCAAACGGGCUAAGAGGGAAACCGGUGCAAAUCCGGCGCUGCCCCCGCAACUGUAACCGGAUAGCGUGUUGCCCAGUUAUGCCACUGGUGCCGGAUUCGAUCCCGGCGCUGGGAAGGCGGGCAACAUGCGAUGACCCGGGAGCCAGGAAACCUGCCGAUGGUAGUCGUUCCGC
rnacentral:ncRNA from 2 species